UUUUAAUUUCCAAAAUCUAAAAACUCAAAACAAUGCACAGUAAUACUAAAACACCAGCCACCGCCCACCAAAUCCUAAAAUCUCACAACUCAAAAAUCUCUAACCCUAAAUUGAAAAUCCUUAAUCUAAAAUCUCCCAAGUUUCAAAAUCCCUACUGCUAGUCACCACUAUCUGACGUCCACCAGUCACAUCAUCUAACGUACACCAGGUUACCAUCAUCGUUCAAUGUUUGUCUGCCAUCGAUUUUGACUUUGCUAGUCAAAGGUUUUUUUUUACUGAAAUUGAUUCUUCUACUUCAUUUUUAUGAAAAAAAUUCAUUCUUUGAUAUUUCUGUAAUUCUACUACUGCUUUUUUGUUCUCAACGAGUCAACGUGUGUUUGUGAAUGUAAUUUUGUAGAAAGGUUAUUGACCAUAUCUGCUGCUUCUUUGCUCUGUAGGUUACUGACGUAGUUAUGCUGUUAAUUUAUCGCCGGUGAUUACUCCUCCGGCUAUGGAUGCUGUAGAAAGUGCAUUGGUUUCUCAUUUAUAUAUGUAUACGUUAUACUUCUUUUCAAAUCGGCCUUGAAUUUUAGUUCUAGUAGCAGAUCUAUAUAUAUGAAAGUGAGGUAGUUAUGCUAUUUGCACAUCAAAGAUUAUCGAUAUGGUUGAUGUUUUGGAUUUCGAUUAUAUUCAAUAUUAUUAUGGACUAUGGAGUAAUAACGUUCUUAUUAGUAUAAUGAGAGAUAUUUUCUCUUUAUAUACAACUAUGUUAGGAGUGUGAGUGGUCUUUGUUAGAUGCUUUAGAGAAGUUAUACAUACAUAUAUUUAUAUGUUGGUUCCUCUUCUAUUAGGUAUAGCUAAGUAGCCAUAUCUACAUUAUAAUUUACCUAACCAGAACUUUGGAACCCUACAAUAUUUUGAUAAAAAACUAUUUUGUUCGAUUUUAACCUAAUUCUGCUUGAAGGCAUAGAAGGGGUGGUAGUUGAUUUCCUAAGCUAUACUUAGGCCAAAGACAUUUUCUUUUUAUAUCAAACAAAUAUAUAAAUAUAAGUUAGAAAGUGAAACUUAAGCAAGAUAGGGAAUGCAUUAUAUAAAACUAUAUUGUAGUUACAGUAAAGCAUAAGCCUAAUUUUGUAGUAUAUAUUGAAUGGUCAUCCGGUAUAUAUUUUAUAUAUACGUGAAGUUAAACUUUCUACUUUGUGUGCUAUUCAAAGCUUGAUGAAAUAAUGUAAACACAUAGAUGAGCAAGAGGUAUAACAAUAAUUAAACCAGUGAUUGUUCAGUAUGUGGUGUGAACUCAUCAUAUUUAUGUUAUCCAUGUGGUUCAUAAACUCAAGUAAAAAUAAUUUUAAAAUAAAGCUGGAAUAACAUAGUUUCAAACUAAUAGCGAUGUGUUGGCAUGCGUAUGUGCCACAUGGACAUAGAUACGCUAUUCCUUUUCCUUUUUCCAUUAUCAUGCAACAUGUUUAUGGUGAAAUUCUAAGUAUCUUUUUCUUUCCCAAUAGUUGUGUUUUUUUUUUGCUUGCUUUCCUUUUGUUAAGUUUGAGAUGAAAAGAUAAAUGGUCUUUGACAGUUUCUUGUGGUAUUAUAUAUAAUCUAAUCAGACUGUGGUAUAGAAUGUUUUAUAUUUUUAGGUUAAAUUAUUCAAAUGUUGACCUAAGUAUGCCUGUGAUUUUGUUUUGGUCAUUCAACUUUGCAUUUAUUUUAAUAUUAUACAUGUAUGAAAAAAACUAAAGUCGUCGACUAGUCGUCCGGUUUCGAUUUUUCACUAUCUGAGGUAAGUCUACUAGUUAUUAACGUAUUUAAAUCAGUAUAUAUGUAUGUAUAUCUAUUGUAUUUUUGUUAAGCUAUAAUUAAAAAUAAUUUGAUUGAAUAAGUUUGAAAUAUAAAUGGUAUAUAUGUAUAUACUAUAUUCGAAUAUAAGAAUAUAUGCCUAUAUAAGUCUUUGAAUUAAAUGUAAGUACGAAUGGUAUACAGAUAAAUAUAUAUACAUUGUUUGAAUAUUAAAUAUGUAUCUAUAUGUUUAUGUUAUUGAAAAUAUUUGAUGAUAUGAGGAUUAUAAAUGUAAACACAAAAUUCGAAUAUAUAUGUACAUUCAUGUAUAAUCUUUGAGUUUGAUUAAAAGUAUGUAUAUUGCAUUUGCAUAGAUAAUUUCGAAUAAGUAUAUAUAUAUGAGUUGAAACAUAUACGUAUAUAUGUUUGAAUAGGUCUUGAACAUAUUUCAAGGUGUGAAUGUUAAAUAUAUAUAUAUAUAUAUGGGUAGUACUGCAUAUGUAUGAAUAUACAUGUAAAAGUUAUUUUCGAAUAGGUAUAUAUAUAUACACAUAAAUAUAUGUUAAGUUCUUGUAUUGAAUUUAGUUAAGUAAUAAUAUAUAAAUAUUUAUAAGUGUUUGAAUUGAAUUGAAGACAUGAUUUAUAAACUUUUAUUUGAUUGGACAUGAACUACAAUGAACAUGUGUUUAUUAUAAAGAAUUAUUUGAGGAAAUAUUUUGUAUAUGAGAAAUUGAAAUUUUUAGACUUAAAGUCUAGCAGGUUUAAGGCCGGUGAUAUAAUUCAAACUUAAAGUCUAGCAGGCUUAAGGUCGGUGAUAUAAUUCAGAAGGCUUAAGGCUGGUGAUAUAAUUCAGCCUUAAAAUCUAGCAGGCUUAAGGCCGGUGAUAUAAUUCAGACUUAAAGUCCAGUAGGUUUAAGGCCGGUGAAAUAAUUCGGACUUUAAGUCUAACAGGCUAAUUGUUGGUGAAUUGAAUCAGGUUUUUUUUUUAAAACCUUGCAGGCUAGUUGCUGGUGAACUUGUUUAAAAAUGUGUGAGUUGUGCAGACUUAAGUAUUUGAAGGAGUUUGUGUUUUUAUUCGGCAUAAGUAGUUGAAAAAUUUAUGUAUAUAUCUAUGCAUUUGUUAAUGUAAUUGGAAGUUAUAUAUAUACGUGUUAAUGUAUGUGUAUUUGGCAUAAGAAAUUGAGGAAAUAUACUAUUGCGUAUAUGGGAACUUAAAUAUGUAUAGUUAUUGUUUGCAAGUAAUUGUUGAUCAAGAAAGCAUUCGGCUUAUCAUGUUUAAGUAUGAGUUAGGUAAAAAAAAAAGAUUAAUAUACAAAUACGUGUGAUGGGUUGUGAAAUGUGAAUAAUGUAUCCAUAUUUAUAUUCAAGUAUAUGUACAGGGUAAGUUCACAUAUACCUUUAGUUAUAUGCUUAUGAUAAAUACAUGUACCCACUCAGUCUUUAUAUUUGUUAAGCAUAUAUAUAUAUAUGUGCAUUUCGUAUAUAUAAUUAUUAUUAAGUUUCUAUGAGUUUAGUGAUAUGUAAUUUGACAGGUAAAGAAGGGUUCUAUUAUAUUAGAUUGACAUUUACAUGUAUUUGUAUAAACACAUAUGUAUAUUCGAUAUUGAUAGUUAUUGAAUCUAUAUGUAUAUAAAUAAGUAUUCGGUUAUACACACUUCAUGUGUAUGUAUAUUUAAUUCUAAGUAUUACAUAAUGGGAUAUGUGAAGGUUACACUGUAUAUUUAUAGAAUCAGGAAAUUAUUUGAUAUUUAUGUAAUGUUUUAAUAUUAAAUUUUUGGUUUAUUAUAGACUUACUAAGCUAUAAAAGCUUACUUCAUUUGUUAAUUAUGUCUUUCUGUUUUAUAGUUUUAAAGAUCAAGCCUCAAGCUCGAGGAUCGUCAGCAAGUUCAUCACCCUAUCUGUAGUCUCGGUAUUUAAAAUGUUUAAAUUCUAACUAUGACAUGUACAGACUAGAUAAAUGUGUUGAAGGUCGUAUUUUGUAAUAGUGUAUAUGAAUAUAAUAGCCAUACUAAUAUGGUUUAUUUACUUAUGGAUUUGCUAGUUUGUAAUGUCUUUGUUUACUUUAAAUGGUUAGAAGGGAAAAUUUAAAAUUUGCAUAUUUAAUUUUAG
rnacentral:lncRNA from 1 species